rnacentral:rRNA from 1 species
UAAUACAGAGGUCCCAAGCGUUGUUCGGAUUCAUUGGGCGUAAAGGGUGCGUAGGUGGCUUGGUAAGUUGAAGGUGAAAUCUCGGAGCUCAACUCCGAAACUGCCUUCAAUACUGCUGGGCUCGAGGACUGUAGAGGAGAAUGGAAUUCACGGUGUAGCAGUGAAAUGCGUAGAUAUCGUGAGGAAGACCAGUGGCGAAGGCGAUUCUCUGGGCAGUUCCUGACACUGAGGCACGAAGGCUAGGGGAGCAAACGGG